rnacentral:rRNA from 1 species
CAGCAGCCGCGGUAAUACGGAGGAUCCAAGCGUUAUCCGGAAUCAUUGGGUUUAAAGGGUCCGUAGGCGGUCUUGUAAGUCAGUGGUGAAAGCCCAUCGCUCAACGGUGGAACGGCCAUUGAUACUGCAGGACUUGAAUUAUUGGGAAGUAACUAGAAUAUGUAGUGUAGCGGUGAAAUGCUUAGAGAUUACAUGGAAUACCAAUUGCGAAGGCAGGUUACUACCAAUUGAUUGACGCUGAUGGACGAAAGCGUGGGUAGCGAACAGGAUUAGAUACCCCUGUAGUCCCUGUCUCUUAUAA